rnacentral:rRNA from 1 species
UACGAAGGGGGCUAGCGUUGCUCGGAAUCACUGGGCGUAAAGCGCACGUAGGCGGAUUGUUAAGUCAGGGGUGAAAUCCUGGAGCUCAACUCCAGAACUGCCUUUGAUACUGGCAACCUAGAGACUGGAAGAGGUUAGUGGAAUUCCCAGUGUAGAGGUGAAAUUCGUAGAUAUUGGGAAGAACACCAGUGGCGAAGGCGGCUAACUGGUCCAGCACUGACGCUGAGGUGCGAAAGCGUGGGGAGCAAACAGGAAUUAGAUACCGUG